GCGCAGCUUUUCCCUCACUUUUUUUUCGCUUGGCUCUUUUUUCUCUGAAACCAAAGUUAAGAAGUUCCGCUUCUUUUCUCAAAACCCUUUGUGUCUCAAACCUCCCUCUCUCACUAUUUUUUAUUCCACCCCUCAAAGAUCUUUUCCUUGAAGAGCCCAGUUCUUUAGCAAGGAAAGAAUUUCUUGAGAACCCAAAAUCCUCUUCCUCAAUCAACAGGUAAAAAGUAUCUGGAUUCCCUUUAAGUUGUAGCAACUUCUUCAUUUCUUUAGUAGACAAAAAAAGUGCAUUUAUUCACUAAUCUUGUGUGUUAUUUGGAAUGAUUCUAGUCUUCUUCAUUGUGAAGAUUUCGUGACAACAGUCUGCCAUUCUAUCCCUGGUAUAUAUCCAUCAAGUUGAAUGAAAAUAUAUCUUUUUUUUAAGUUUAAAGUAGCAAAGUUGGAGGCGUUGAGCUUUUAAAGCCACAUGAAAUAUUUUAGUGCUUUGUUAGAGGAUUUUUAUCUAGAUCUAGUCCAGAUCUUCUGUUUAUUUGAAGUUGUGUUCGUAAAUAAAUAUAUGAUAUUAUUCAUUCGUUGAAAUAGUUUUAGUUGUUAGUAGAAUCUUGUGUUUAGCGGUUUGAUGAUGUUGGUUAGGAUUUACACAUUAGGAGAAUAAAGAUAGAUUAAAAUAGGUAGAAUAAUUGCAAGUAUUUAUUUACUUUGCUUAUUUGUCUCAAAUCUGUCAGUACUUCAUGA